rnacentral:lncRNA from 10 species
CCAGGUUGCCCAGGACAAGGCAUGUCCAACAUAUGCCUAUAAGACAAAUGUGAAAACAUCAAGUUACAGAAGCUAGAUGUGCAUUUACUACACUGGGAUUCAUGGUUCAGCGAAGACAAGCUAUUAGUUGGCUCAAGAAGGAGAGCUUCCUCGAUGUCAACAAUGCAAGAUUUGUGCUGCGGGCAAUUGGAGUAGAAUCAGCUUCCUGAGAGCCAAGUUCUUUGACUUCCCCUAGAAGGAAAGGGUGGGCUCAAUGUCAUCACAAGGGUGCUUAAGAGGGAAAGAGGAAGCCAUGAGGGUCAGAGUCAAAGGAAGACUUGAAGAUACUACACUGCGGACUUUAAAGAUGAAGGAAGGGGCGAAAACCAAGAAUGUGGGAAGCCUCUAGAAGCUAGAGAAGGCAAGGAAACAAAUUUUCCACUAGAGCCUCCAGAAGGAACACAGCCCUGCUGACCCACUGUAAUGUCUGACCUCUAGAUGUGUAAGGGUAGUAAGACUGAAAGUCUCAGAAAGGCACUGUUAAAUUCUUAUUCCUCAACUAUGCAACUCAAAACUGGGGUCCUCAGCAGUGAGCGAGGGGUGAGAGAAGACACUGUAUAAACAUGGCACAUCCUCCUGGAAAGUCAACUUUACUCAAAGCUUUAGAAACCCAGCUCAAACUAGCUGAAGCAGAAAAGACAUUACUGCGCCUAUAAGUUGAAACUUUGGAGGGAUAAAUUUCAGAGGUGUGGCUAGAUCCAACGGCUCUCUGGAAAACUCUGUGAAAAAAAUGCUUCCUCAAGUCCAGAAACCAGAAGCUCAGGAAAUUGUUGCUUGGUUCCUCUUGUUAGAGGCAGAGAUUAUUCAACGACCUACAGGGUAGCGUUUGAACAUUGUUACCAGGAAUCUUUACUUUGCCAUCUUCCAAGUCUGUUCUCCUCAGUAUUGGUUUCAUUUACAAGCAGGCCAUCUCUGCCCUCAUGGCAAUGAUGGUCUUUACUCCAGGCUUAAGACCCUUACUAUCUACUAUUUCCAAAGCGGAGAGAGAACUUCCCACACCUAGUGACCUGUGACACAGGAUUUUAUCCUUCGUACAGAGGGAAUUCAGUUGGCUAACAUAAUCUGCCUUCCAAUGGAGUAAGAAUGUCUGGACUCUUUCCUUCACCUACCCCCAAGACAUGGAGGCGUCUAAAAGAUAAAUAAAACUUGGCAACUGACCGAAGGAGGAAGAGGGGAUUUCAGGCAAAAUCAACGCUGUUCACUACGAGGAGACUUCAGAAAGGUUGCCUGCUUCUGGGGAGCAUAGUCCCUGAUUCCUCAAGACAUACGUUUAUUCUUUUCUUCAAUGUCUUUGCCUGCAGUCAAAACAAAACCAUUACCUUUAGCCAAGUUCACACAUUUCAGCCAAAUCCAUAUGCAUCGGAUCAGUUCUGUAGGUUAUGGGUGAGCAUGAACAUAUAAAAGAGGCACCUGCCUGUGCCUAUCUACUCCAUGGAAUUUCAAAAGGGGCCACUUAUGGAGAAUGUCUUUAGGGACAGAACCAACCACCCUGUCUUUCCUCCAACUCUCAAAGUAACUUCUGGCUUUAAUCCUCAAGUGUCUAUGCUGGAGUUUAAGAAAAAUGUUUUUCAUAGAAUUCAUGUGUAUGAUAUUGCAUGAGUUGUCCAUCUUUGUAUAUAUCUCAAGACUUGUGGUGUUAGUUAAAGAUUCAGAGCUCUGUGUCCUGAACACAGAGUAAUACCAGCAUUACUAAGGAUGAUCGUGGGAUUUUAAAAUUCCUCCCUUAGAUAGAUCUUACGAACUUAUGUUACCAAUCAACAUAAGUUAAGACAAAAAGAGCAAAUUUAGAUGUAAAACCAUCUUGGGGCCAGGUGCUGUGGCUCACGCCUGUAAUCCCAGCACUUUGGGAGGCCGAGGCGGGCGGAUCACUAGGUCAGGAGAUCGAGACCAUCUUGGCCAACACGGUGAAACCCUGUCUCUACUAAAAAUACAAAAAAAUUAGCCGGGCAUGGUGGCAGGCGCCUGUAGUCCCAGCUACUAGGGAGGCUGAGGCAGGAGAAUGGUGUGAACCCUGGAAGCGGAGCUUGCAGUGAGCCAAGAUCAUGCCACUGCACUGCAGCUUGGGCGACAGAGCGAGACUCCGUCUCAAAAAAAACCAAACCAACAAACAAACAAACAAAAAAAAACCAUCUUGGGACUUCCCUCAGCAUUUUGGGGAAAUGCUCUCUGAUUUUAAAAAAAGUACUGGAUGGCCAGAAGUGCUGUUCUUUUUUUUUUUUAAAUGUUAACAAGUCGUUUAUUUACCCAGUGUACAGGGAAAAUCAACCUAUACAUCUUGUCUUUGGUAAUUGAGACAUUACUUAGUAUCUGCAAUGUUUAGAAAUUUGCAUUGUUGACAUUUCCUGUCAUCAGGUCUUACUUGAGGUGUCUUUCUUUCUUUGUUUAUUAUACUUUAAGUUCUA